rnacentral:rRNA from 1 species
GACGAACGCUGGCGGCGUGCUUAACACAUGCAAGUCGAACGAUGAAGCCGGAGCUUGCUCCGGUGGAUUAGUGGCGAACGGGUGAGUAACACGUGAGCAAUCUGCCCUUGACUCUGGGAUAACUGCGGGAAACUGUAGCUAAUACCGGAUACGACACCUUGGGGCAUCCCAGGGUGUGGAAAGAAUUUCGGUCAAGGAUGAGCUCGCGGCCUAUCGGCUAGUUGGUGAGGUAAUGGCUCACCAAGGCGACGACGGGUAGCCGGCCUGAGAGGGUGACCGGCCACACUGGAACUGAGACACGGUCCAGACUCCUACGGGAGGCAGCAGUGGGGAAGAUUGCACAAUGGGCGAAAGCCUGAUGCAGCAACGCCGCGUGAGGGAUGAAGGCCUUCGGGUUGUAAACCUCUUUUAGCAGGGAAGAAGCGAAAGUGACGGUACCUGCAGAAAAAGCACCUGCUAACUACGUGCCAGCCGCCGCCGUAA